rnacentral:rRNA from 1 species
GUGUCAGCAGCCGCGGUAAUACGUAGGGUGCAAGCGUUAAUCGGAAUUACUGGGCGUAAAGUGUGCGCAGGUGGCCGCGCAUGUCGAGUGUGAAAUCCCCGAGCUUAACUUGGGAAUUGCGCUUGAAACUACGUGGCUAGAGUGUGGCAGAGGGAGGUGGAAUUCCACGUGUAGCGGUGAAAUGCGUAGAGAUGUGGAGGAACACCAAUGGCGAAGGCAGCCUCCUGGGCCAACACUGACACUCAUGCACGAAAGCGUGGGGAGCAAACAGGAUUAGAAACCCCGGUAGUCC